CUCAGAUAAAGAGUUGUUGAAGCUCACGAGGCUGGAAAAGGUCACAGAACCAUCUCUAAAGAGUUUGGACUCCACCAAUCCACAGUCAGACAGAUUGUGUACACAUGGAGGAAAUGUAAGACCAGUGUUCCCCUCUCCAGGAGUGGAGACCAACACAGAUCUCUCCAAGAGCGAGACGUGUAAUAGUCCACGAGGUCACAAAGGAACCCAGGAGAUCCACUGACUAAUACGAGGGGCAAAAGUAUGUCAACCUUUGCUUUUUGAAUCU
ensembl:lncRNA